rnacentral:rRNA from 1 species
AUGGGGGCGACGAGGGUGGCGGAGGCGAGGCACGGGCACAGGCUCUGCGAGUCACAGAGCCACAGUGUAGCCCAAAUACCAUCACUACUGCAUAACGAGCCCCUGUUGGACUUUGCUGUUGGACCACCUAUGUGCCGCUCGCUGCGGACUAGUGCGCUGUUUCACACAGGACAAGCUGGAAGAACACUCCCGAGAUAA